UGCAAGUCGAACGAACUCUGGUAUUGAUUGGUGCUUGCAUCAUGAUUUACAUUUGAGUGAGUGGCGAACUGGUGAGUAACACGUGGGAAACCUGCCCAGAAGCGGGGGAUAACACCUGGAAACAGAUGCUAAUACCGCAUAACAACUUGGACCGCAUGGUCCGAGUUUGAAAGAUGGCUUCGGCUAUCACUUUUGGAUGGUCCCGCGGCGUAUUAGCUAGAUGGUGGGGUAACGGCUCACCAUGGCAAUGAUACGUAGCCGACCUGAGAGGGUAAUCGGCCACAUUGGGACUGAGACACGGCCCAAACUCCUACGGGAGGCAGCAGUAGGGAAUCUUCCACAAUGGACGAAAGUCUGAUGGAGCAACGCCGCGUGAGUGAAGAAGGGUUUCGGCUCGUAAAACUCUGUUGUUAAAGAAGAACAUAUCUGAGAGUAACUGUUCAGGUAUUGACGGUAUUUAACCAGAAAGCCACGGCUAACUACGUGCCAGCAGCCGCGGUAAUACGUAGGUGGCAAGCGUUGUCCGGAUUUAUUGGGCGUAAAGCGAGCGCAGGCGGUUUUUUAAGUCUGAUGUGAAAGCCUUCGGCUCAACCGAAGAAGUGCAUCGGAAACUGGGAAACUUGAGUGCAGAAGAGGACAGUGGAACUCCAUGUGUAGCGGUGAAAUGCGUAGAUAUAUGGAAGAACACCAGUGGCGAAGGCGGCUGUCUGGUCUGUAACUGACGCUGAGGCUCGAAAGUAUGGGUAGCAAACAGGAUUAGAUACCCUGGUAGUCCAUACCGUAAACGAUGAAUGCUAAGUGUUGGAGGGUUUCCGCCCUUCAGUGCUGCAGCUAACGCAUUAAGCAUUCCGCCUGGGGAGUACGGCCGCAAGGCUGAAACUCAAAGGGAUUUGACGGGGGCCCGCACAAGCGGUGGAGCAUGUGUUUAAUUCGAAGCUACGCGAGAACCUUACCAGUCUUGACAUACUAUGCAAAUCUAGAGAUUAGACGUUCCCUUCGGGGACAUGGAUACAGGUGUGCAUGAUGUCGUCAGCUCGUGUCAGUGAGAUGGU
rnacentral:rRNA from 1 species